UACGGGGGGGGCAAGCGUUGUUCGGAAUUACUGGGCGUAAAGGGCGCGUAGGCGGCCACUGCAAGUCAGUUGUGAAAUCUCCGGGCUUAACCCGGAAAGGUCAACUGAUACUGCAGGGCUAGAGUGCAGAAGGGGCAACUGGAAUUCUCGGUGUAGCGGUGAAAUGCGUAGAUAUCGAGAGGAACACCUGCGGCGAAGGCGGGUUGCUGGGCUGACACUGACGCUGAUGUGCGAAAGCCAGGGGAGCGAACGGG
rnacentral:rRNA from 1 species